AGUCAAUAGAUACCCCGGUAGUCCACGCCCUAAACCGAAUGUCUACUAGUUGUCGGGGGAGUUCGUUUCCUUUGGUAAACGGCAGCUAAACGACGUGAAAGUAGACCGCCUGGGGAGGUACGGCCGGCAAGGUUAAAACUACAAAGGAAAUUGACGGGGACCCGGCACAAGCGGUGGAUGAUGUGGAUUAAUUCGAUGCAACGCGAAAAACCUUAACCUACGCUUGACAUGCCAGAAAACCCCGGCCAGAGAUGUGGGGGUGGCCCGAAACGGGAAUCUGGACACAGGUGCUGCAUGGCUGUCGUCAGCUCGUGUCGUGAGAUGUUGGGUUAAGUCCCGCAACGAGCGCAACCCUUGUCCUUAGUUGCUACGCAAGGGCACUCUAAGGAGACUGCCGGUGACAAACCGGGAGGAAGGUGGGGAUGACGUCAAGUCCUCAUGGCCCUUAUGUGUA
rnacentral:rRNA from 1 species